AGCGAACGCUGGCGGCAGGCUUAACACAUGCAAGUCGAACGGGCACUUCGGUGUCAGUGGCAGACGGGUGAGUAACGCGUGGGAACAUACCUCUUGGUUCGGAACAACACAGGGAAACUUGUGCUAAUACCGGAUAAGCCCUUACGGGGAAAGAUUUAUCGCCGAGAGAUUGGCCCGCGUCUGAUUAGCUAGUUGGUGUGGUAAAAGCGCACCAAGGCGACGAUCAGUAGCUGGCUGAGAGGAUGAUCAGCCACAUUGGGACUGAGACACGGCCCAAACUCCUACGGGAGGCAGCAGGUGGGGAAUAUUGGACAAGUGGGCNCAAGCCUGAUCCAGCCAUGCCGCGUGAGUGAUGAA
rnacentral:rRNA from 1 species